CCCUUAGAUGUCCUGGGCCGCACGCGCGCUACACUGACAUGUUCAACAAGUUUCUCCUAGUUCGACAGGACUGGGAAAUCUUUGAACGCAUGUCGUGAUAGGGAUAGAUCAUUGCAAUUAUUGAUCUUGAACGAGGAAUUCCUAGUAAACGCGAGUCAUCAGCUCGCAUUGAUUACGUCCCUGCCCUUUGUACACACCGCCCGUCGCACCUACCGGUUGAAUGUUUCGGUGAAGAUUCCGGAUAGGACUGAUUUGAUUUAUUUCAUUUCUGACCUAAAAGCUAUCUAAACCUCAACAUUUAGAGGAAGGUGAAGUCGUAACA
rnacentral:rRNA from 1 species